GAUGAACGCUGGCGGCGUGCCUAAUACAUGCAAGUCGAACGGAGAGUGUUAGCUUCGGUUGAUAACUCUUAGUGGCGAACGGGUGAGUAACGCGUUGGUGACCUGCCCCGAAGACGGGGGAUAACAGCUCGAAAGGGCUGCUAAUACCCCAUGUGGUGCUAGAGGUUAGAGGCUCUAGCAAGAAAGGAGCAAUCCGCUUCGGGAGGGGCCUGCGUCCCAUCAGCUAGUUGGUAGGGUAAAGGCCUACCAAGGCGAAGACGGGUAGGGGGCCUGAGAGGGUGAACCCCCCACAAUGGAACUGAAACACGGUCCAUACACCUACGGGUGGCAGCAGUAGGGAAUAUUGCACAAUGGGCGAAAGCCUGAUGCAGCAACGCCGCGUGUGCGAUGAAGGCCUUCGGGUUGUAAAGCACUUUUCGGGGAGAUGAGGAAGGACAGUAUCCCCGGAAUAAGGCUCGGCUAACUACGUG
rnacentral:rRNA from 1 species